GGCGUAUUUUCUUUCUAAUAGGGGUUUAGGGGGUUGAACUUGCUGAGACGUUGUCUCAGUGGUUAUUGAAUAACCAUUUCAGGUCCCCGGUGAUCGGAGCGGCCAGAUAGCUUUGGUUGGCAUUGAGGAGUUGCAGAGGUGAAGUCAUAAGAUUGGAGAACGUGUCCGACUUGUAGGUCGUAGGAUAACCUCUUUUUAAGAGCCGGUCUUUUGUAGACUUUUGGCCGUAGACCUCUGUUUGUAAUUCUAUUGAAUUAUGUUUAAGUGUUAUGUUGUGGUUUUGCUUCCUGCUUUUCUAUCCCAUAGUUUAUUGUCAGGGGAUUUGUUUCGCUUCCGCAUGCGUAAUAGAAUAAAUGGGUCGGCGACAUAUCCUGGGAUGUCGCAUUUUUGAUCGACCGCAGUGGGAUGUGCGCGCGCUCGGGGUUUGGGGCGUGACAUUAGGUGUGGGUGAUUCCACUAGAUCGUACAAUUCUUGUCGAUCGGCACUGGACCGACUUUUCUGUCGAUUGGGUAUCCUGUGUUCGUAUUUGAAACCUUGAGAAUUCCUCGACAACCAAAAGUCGCCAAUGUUUCAAAGAUGUAUAUUGUGGCUUGAGAUGAUCAAUCACAGGUCAAAUGCAUGAAAAUUUCUAAAGGCUACCUGGUAGGUUGGGCCGCGCUAGUAUCGUGCCAAAGUGAAAUUAACCGUGAAAUUGAGAUCGAAUUCAGAAAUUGGAAGUCUGAGUGUGUCACAAAUCAUUUCAAGAUCAUUGAAUCAUCUUUGGAAGAUUUUUCAUGCAAGCCGAGCUUCUUAGCAAAAUAAUCAAGAAAUGGCUAAUUUGGCUCGAGAAAUUAGUAGGCCGUUUUUGGUCGCGCUUUUGGGACUUAAGUUAGUUCUACGGACAAGUGAAGAUGUGAAUUGAAGUGUGAUGACAUUGGAUUAAUUUUAUGGGCUUCAAUUUAAUUCAAUUGGAAGAUAAUCGAGUGAAAUUGAAGAAGUUGUUGUUCAAAGAAUUGGACCCCGGCGGAAAUGCAAGUGAACCCAUGGAAUAAAGUUGUGGGAGUUUUGAGUGAGUGGAGUAUGACAUCCAUCCAUGAGGUCAUGGUGGGCCACUUUUGUGGGAUUAAAGGAAAAAGGAAAAAAAAAGGGAAUGGUCCCAUCUCUCUCUCUCUCUCCAUCUUCAUCUUCAACCUUGGAACUUCUUGGACGUGGGGAGGGGAAAACCAAUCGAGAACCAGCAGCUCGCCAGCCCACACGCACGCCCCCUCCGCCACUCGCCGCCGCCGUUUGCACCGCCAAGCUGCUCGCCGUCCGCUCGCACCACCGGCCGCACCACCGUCGCCCUCUCUCCUCUCUUCUCCGGCUCCGGUUUCUGCUUGAAAACCCAGCAGAUCUGAGGAGGUGUCGAAGCUGGCUGUAGCCCAGCCGAAUCGCCGUCGGCCGUCGUCACUGAAGCUUGCCGCUACCACCGUCGUCCGCGCGAAGCCCGCGCCCGCGCGCCGCUCCGCUCGCUUCGCCCAGCUCGUCGUCCCGAGCUGCUGUUCAGCUCGCGCAAGAGCUGCCGAAGCUCGUUCGUCGCCGCCGUGCACCGCCGUUCGUCGCCGCCAGCCACCGCCAGCCACCGCCGUAGCUCCUCCGCCCACUCCCGACCCCAACCAGCCCCGGAUCUGCCCUCCUUCGCCCCCAACCAGCAGCAAGCAGAGAAGAAGAAAAUGGGUAUGGCAAGACCUAUUUGGCCGGUUUUGGCCGCCUUCCCGAGCCCGGAUGCUCGGCCCGCUUUGAGGAAAGUCGAUCCUCGCGUCGAUCCCGUCGUUUUGAUCCGCUCGGCUCGCUAAUCUGGUGAGUUUAGCUCACUAAAUCUUGAUUAGACGGUUAAUUAUGCCCUAAGUGUGCUUAGUUUAAGUUAAGCAAGUUUAGGUGGAUAUUUUAGUUUAUUUAAUUGUGAUUUGGAUUAAAAGGUUUGUUUAAUUUAAAGUGUGUUUAAUUAAAGGUUAAGAGAGUUUAUUUAAUAAUAAACCUUGAUGGGACAUAAUAGGGUUUUAUUUUUGAAUUAUUUAAUUGAAAUUAUUAAAAUAUUAUUAUUUAAAAAAAAAGGAAAAAUUAUUUUUGAUCCCGAUUGCUCAGAAUUUCGUGCCGAUCGCUGCUAUGCGUUCAGAUUUUGAAAUUGAUGGUUAGAUAUUAUAAAUUGGGUGUGGAUGACGAAAAUAUGGAUAUUAUUAUUUAAUUAAUUUUCGAAAUAAAUUUAAUUAUUUAUUAAAAUUCGAAAAUUUCGUCGGGACCCUAAACUCUCAGAAUUUCGUGCCGAUCGCUGCUGUGUAUUUAGAAUUUGAAUUUGAUGAUUGAUUGUGGCAAAUUGAGUGUGAUUGCGAUAGAUAGGGAUUCUUUAUAAAAUCCAAGUGUCGAAAUUGAUGGGAGGUUGGCCGUGAUGAACCACCUAUUAGAGGUCGUGCCCAGUGAGGCCGUGAUGAACCACCUAUGAGAUGUCGUGCCUAGUGAGGCCGUGAUGAACCACCUAUUAGAGGUCGUGCCCAGUGAGGCCGUGAUGAACCACCUAUGAGAGGUCGUGCCUAAUAGGGCCGUGAUGGACCACCUAUUAGAGGUCGUGCCCAGUGAGGCCUUGAUUAACCACCUAUUAGAGAUCGUGCUCAGUGAGGCCGUGAUGUACCACCUAGGAGAGGUCGUGCCCAGUGAGGCCGUGAUGGGGGCACCUAAUUAAAGGUCGUGCCGAGGGGGGCCGUGAUUGCCACUGGUUGUUAAACCUUCCUAUAGGGCCGUAAUUGAGAGCGAUGAUUGAUUUGCUAGAAUGACAUGUAAUCGGCCAAGUCGAUUGAUCGCUGAGACGAUCCAAGUGGUUGAAUUAUUCUGAUGAUGUGAUUGUGCCAUGGUUGUUUGGCUAUCAUAAUUGCACGUAGUUGAAUUAUAUAAAUUGUGUUAACCUGCAGAUGAAGGCUAAUGCGAGGUAAGUCUUCUGUGUGAUGUGGCUAGGCCACCCAGGGCGUAUUUUCUUUCUAAUAGGGGUUUAGGGGGUUUAACUUGCUGAAACAUCGUCUCAUCCCAGUUGUGGGAUUAAAAUUUCAGGUCCCUGGUGAACGGAGCGACCAGAUAGCUUUGGUUUGCCUUGAGGAGUUGCAGAGGUGAAGUCAUAAGAUUGGAGAAUGUGUCCGACUUGUAGGUCGUAGGACAAUUCCUUUUUAAGAGCCGGUCCUUUGUAGACUUUUAGCCGUAGACUUCUGUUUGUAAUUCUAUUGAAUUAUGAAAGUGUUAUGUUAUGG
rnacentral:lncRNA from 1 species